rnacentral:rRNA from 1 species
AGAGUUUGAUCCUGGCUCAGAACGAACGCUGGUAGCGUGGAUUAGGCAUGCAAGUCGAACGGGAUCACUUGGAUAGCAAUAUUCGGGUGUGAGAGUGGCGGAUUGGGGAGGAACACGUGAACAACCUGCCUUUGAGUUCGGGAAAACCGUUGGAAACGACGGCUAAUACCGGAUGUGGCGCCUGACGACAUCGUCGGAGCGCUAAAGGGGGCCGCAAGGCUCUCGCUCUUAGAGGGGUUCGCGCACCAUCAGCUUGUUGGCGGGGUAACGGCCCACCAAGGCAUACGGUUAGCUGGUCUGAGAGGAUGACCAGCCCCACUGGGACUGAGAUACUGCCCAGACUCCUACGGGAGGCUGCAGUCGAGGAUCAUUUGCAAUGGGCGAAAGCCUGACAAUGCGACGCUGCGUGGAGGAUGAAGGCCUUCGGGUUGUAAACUCCUGUCAUAAGGGAACAGGCGAGGGUACCCAAUACGUACCUUAGUUGAGUGUACUUUAAGAGGAAGCGACGGCUAACUCUGUGCCAGCAGCCGCGGUAAUACGUAGGUGGCGAGCGUUGUUCGGAUUUAUUGGGCGUAAAGGGUCCGCAGGUGGUUGGAUAAGUUUGAUGUGAAAUCCCAGAGCUCAACUCUGGAACUGCAUUGAACACUGUCUGACUGGAGUAUCGGAGAGGUGAUUGGAAUACCAGGUGUAGCGGUGGAAUGCGUAGAUAUUUGGUAGAACACCGAGAGCGAAGGCAGAUCACUGGACGAUGACUGACACUCAUGGACGAAAGUAUGGGGAGCAAACAGGAUUAGAUACCCUGGUAGUCCAUACCCUAAACGUUGUCAACUUGAUGUGGGGAGAGUUUACUCCUUUCCGUGUCGAAGCAAACGCGAUAAGUUGACCGCCUGGGAACUACGGCCGCAAGGCUAAAACUCAAAGGAAUUGACGGGGGCCCGCACAAGCGGUGGAGCAUGUGGCUUAAUUCGAGGCAACGCGAAGAACCUUACCUGGAUUUGACAUGGACAGGCGAUCCGUAGAAAUACGGAGUCCCGCAAGGGUCUGUUCACAGGUGCUGCAUGGCUGUCGUCAGCUCGUGCCGUGAGGUGUUCGGUUAAGUCCGGCAACGAGCGCAACCCACGUUAAUAGUUGCCAGCAGGUGAAGCUGGGCACUCUAUUGAUACUGCCCGUGUUAAGCGGGAGGAAGGAGUGGAUGAUGUCAAGUCCGUAUGGCCUUUAUAUCCAGGGCUGCACACGUGCUACAAUGGCUGUUACAGAGGGAAGCGAAGUUGUGAGAUGGAGCAGAUCCGUAAAAGCAGCCUUAGUUCGGAUUGCAGGCUGCAACUCGCCUGCAUGAAGCCGGAAUCGCUAGUAAAGGCGUAUCAGCCACGACGCCUUGAAUACGUUCCCGGGCCUUGCACACACCGCCCGUCA